rnacentral:tRNA from 2 species
GCCCAGCUAGCUCAGUCGGUAGAGCAUGAGACUCUUAAUCUCAGGGUCGUAGGUUUGAGCCCCGAUAUGGGUG